rnacentral:rRNA from 1 species
UGGGGAAUUUUGGACAAUGGGCGCAAGCCUGAUCCAGCAAUGCCGCGUGCAGGAUGAAGGCCUUCGGGUUGUAAACUGCUUUUGUACGGAACGAAAAAGCUCUCUCUAAUACAGGGGGUGAAUGACGGUACCGUAAGAAUAAGCACCGGCUAACUACGUGCCAGCAGCCGCGGUAAUACGUAGGGUGCAAGCGUUAAUCGGAAUUACUGGGCGUAAAGCGUGCGCAGGCGGUUUUGUAAGACAGAGGUGAAAUCCCCGGGCUCAACCUGGGAACUGCCUUAGUGACUGCAAAGCUGGAGUGCGGCAGAGGGGGAUGGAAUUCCGCGUGUAGCAGUGAAAUGCGUAGAUAUGCGGAGCAACACCGAUGGCGAAGGCAAUCCCCUGGGCCUGCACUGACGCUCAUGCACGAAAGCGUGGAGAGCAAACA